GGGGUUGUGGCUCAGUGGUAGAGUGUUUGCCUAGCAUGCAAGAGGUACUGGGUUCAAUUGUCAGCACCACA
rnacentral:tRNA from 1 species